rnacentral:tRNA from 1 species
GUUUUUAUAGUUGAAUAACAACGGUGGUUUUUCAGAUCAUGGGUUCUGGUUCAAGUCCGGAUAAAAAUA